CUUCCUAACAACUGCAGAAAAUUAAUUUUACUUACUGCUUAAAAAUUCAGAAAGUGACGGUUGACGAAACCGAUCGUUGUGAAUGCUAAUGCAAAUUCGUUUAUUAGCAAUAUUGAAAAUUUUCUUGUAAACUACCGAAGCAAUUCGAUUUGUCGGCUAUGGCAGCCAGUGCGAGAUGUUUGUUCAAGGCAGAUGUACAAUCCCCUACUAAAUACGGGAAUCAAACCACCGGGACAUACAGACGAACCGUUUUAUUAUACUGCAUUUGUUACAAUAUGACACCUGGUUCAAAAAUUGGCACAGGAUGCGAGGUUUAAGGCGAUAUGUCACAGUGAAUCAAACGGAACACUGAAUCGGAAUCAACAGAUUAAGCUACAUCCAUCGUCGUAA